CCUUCCUGACCUGUCAUCCACCCAGGAACCUAGCCCGGCCUCCUGUAAUGCAAGCUGGCCUCACCAAGAUGCUCCUGUCUCAGCAUCUAAGAAUUUCUCCACUGGGAGGCAGAUAUCCCCUUGAGUCACUGAAA